rnacentral:rRNA from 1 species
UGGGGAAUAUUGGGCAAUGGGCGCAAGCCUGACCCAGCGACGCCGCGUGAAGGAAGAAGGCCUUCGGGUUGUAAACUUCUGUUGUAAGGGAAGAAGCAAGUGACGGUACCUUACGAGGAAGCCACGGCUAACUACGUGCCAGCAGCCGCGGUAAUACGUAGGUGGCGAGCGUUAUCCGGAUUUACUGGGUGUAAAGGGUGUGUAGGCGGGAAGGCAAGUCGGAUGUGAAAAUUAUGGGCUCAACCCAUAACCUGCAUUCGAAACUGUCUUUCUUGAGAGUCGGAGAGGUAAGUGGAAUUCCCAGUGUAGCGGUGAAAUGCGUAGAUAUUGGGAGGAACACCAGUGGCGAAGGCGGCUCUCUGGACUGUAACUGACACUGAGGCACGAAAGCGUGGGGAGCAAACAGG